rnacentral:rRNA from 1 species
CCUACGGGAGGCCGCAGUAGGGAAUCUUCCACAAUGGACGAAAGUCUGAUGGAGCAACGCCGCGUGCGUGAAGAAGGGUUUCGGCUCGUAAAGCUCUGUUGGUAGUGAAGAAAGAUAGAGGUAGUAACUGGCCUUUAUUUGACGGUACUUACUUAGAAUGUCACGGCUAACUACGUGCCAGCAGCCGCGGUAAUACGUAGGUGGCAAGCGUUGUCCGGAUUUAUUGGGCGUAAAGCGAGUGCAGGCGGGUCAAUAAGUCUGAUGUGAAAGCCUUCGGCUCAACCGGGGAAUUGCAUCAGAAACUGUUGAACUUGAGUGCAGAAGAGGAGGGUGGAACGCCAUGUGUAGCGGUGGAAUGCGUAGAUAUAUGGAAGAACACCGGUGGCGAAGGCGGCCUGCUGGACUGCGACUGACGUUGAGGCCCGAAAGCGUGGGGAGCAAACAGGAUUAGAUACCCCAGUAGUC